UGCGAACUCCUACGGGAGGCAGCAGUGGGGAAUAUUGGACAAUGGGCGAAAGCCUGAUCCAGCCAUGCCGCGUGAGUGAUGAAGGCCCUAGGGUUGUAAAGCUCUUUCACCGGUGAAGAUAAUGACGGUAACCGGAGAAGAAGCCCCGGCUAACUUCGUGCCAGCAGCCGCGGUAAUACGAAGGGGGCUAGCGUUGUUCGGAAUUACUGGGCGUAAAGCGCACGUAGGCGGACUAUUAAGUCAGGGGUGAAAUCCCGGGGCUCAACCCCGGAACUGCCUUUGAUACUGGUAGUCUAGAGUCCGAGAGAGGUGAGUGGAAUUCCGAGUGUAGAGGUGAAAUUCGUAGAUAUUCGGAGGAACACCAGUGGCGAAGGCGGCUCACUGGCUCGGUACUGACGCUGAGGUGCGAAAGCGUGGGGAGCAAACAGGAUUAGAAACCCUUGUAGUCCAGAUG
rnacentral:rRNA from 1 species